GAAGGGGGCAAGCGUUGUUCGGAAUNACUGGGCGUAAAGGGAGUGUAGGCGGUUAUGUAAGAUAGUGGUGAAAUCCCAGAGCUUAACUUUGGAAUNGCCAUUAUGACUAUGUGGCUAGAAUNACAGAGAGGAUAGUGGAAUACCCAGUGUAGAGGUGAAAUUCGUAGAUAUUGGGUAGAACACCAGUGGCGAAGGCGACUAUCUGGCUGUAUAUUGACGCUGAGGCUCGAAAGCAUGGGGAUCAAACAGGAUUAGAUACCCUGGUAGUCCAUGCUGUAAACGAUGAGUGCUUGUUGUCGGUAUUGUAUCGGUGACGAAGUUAACGCGUUAAGCACUCCGCCUGGGGAGU
rnacentral:rRNA from 1 species